rnacentral:rRNA from 1 species
AUUGAACGCUGGCGGCAUGCCUUACACAUGCAAGUCGAACGGCAGCACGGGAGCAAUCCUGGUGGCGAGUGGCGAACGGGUGAGUAAAGUAUCGGAACGUGCCCAGUCGUGGGGGAUAACGUAGCGAAAGUUACGCUAAUACCGCAUACGAUCUAUGGAUGAAAGCGGGGGAUCGCAAGACCUCGCGCGAUUGGAGCGGCCGAUAUCAGAUUAGGUGUUUGGUGGGGUAAAGGCUCACCAAGCCGACGAUCUGUAGCUGGUCUGAGAGGACGACCAGCCGACCUGGGACUUAGACGCGGCCCAGACUCCGACGGGAGGCAGCAGUGGGGAAUUUUGGACAAUAGGCGAAAGCCUGAUCCAGCCAUGCCGCGGUCAGUAUGAAGGCCUUCGGGUUGUAAACUGCUUUUGUACGGAACGAAAAGGUUUGGCCUAAUAAGCUGAGCUCAUGACGGUACCGUAAGAAUAAGCACCGGCUAACUACGUGCCAGCCGCCGCAGUAA